rnacentral:rRNA from 1 species
GCUCAGUAACACGUAGUCAACUUACCCUAUGGACGAGGAUAAUCUCGGGAAACUGAGCAUAAUACUCGAUAGAUCAUAAUGCCUGGAAUGGUUUAUGGUUAAAAUGAUUCGUCGCCGUAGGAUGGGACUGCGGCCUAUCAGCUUGUUGGUGAGGUAAUGGCCCACCAAGGCGAUUACAGGUACGGGCUCUGAGAGGAGAAGCCCGGAGAUGGGUACUGAGACAAGGACCCAGGCCCUAUGGGGCGCAGCAGGCGAGAAAACUUUGCAAUGUGCGAAAGCACGACAAGGUUAAUCCGAGUGAUUUCUGCUAAAGAAAUCUUUUGCAAGUCAUAAAACCACUAGUGAAUAAGGGGUGGGCAAGUUCUGGUGUCAGCCGCCGCGGUAAACCAGCACCUCAAGUGGUCA